rnacentral:rRNA from 1 species
UAGCGUAGGGGGCAAGCGUUGUCCGGAUUCGAUUGGGCGUAAAGAGCGUGUAGGCGGCCAGGUAGGUCGGUUGUGAAAACUGGAGGCUCAACCUUCAGACGUCGACCGAAACCAUCUGGCUAGAGUCCGGGAGAGGAGAGUGGAAUUCCUGGUGUAGCGGUGAAAUGCGCAGAUAUCAGGAAGAACACCCGUGGCGAAGGCGGUUCUCUGGGACGGUACUGACGCUGAGACGCGAAAGCGUGGGGAGCGAACAGG